rnacentral:rRNA from 1 species
UGGACCCGUAAUCCGGGUUGCGGACAGUGUCUGGUGGGUAGUUUGACUGGGGCGGUCUCCUCCUAAAGAGUAACGGAGGAGCACGAAGGUUGGCUAAUCCUGGUCGGACAUCAGGAGGUUAGUGCAAUGGCAUAAGCCAGCUUGACUGCGAGCGUGACGGCGCGAGCAGGUGCGAAAGCAGGUCAUAGUGAUCCGGUGGUUCUGAAUGGAAGGGCCAUCGCUCAACGGAUAAAAGGUACUCCGGGGAUAACAGGCUGAUACCGCCCAAGAGUUCAUAUCGACGGCGGUGUUUGGCACCUCGAUGUCGGCUCAUCACAUCCUGGGGCUGAAGUAGGUCCCAAGGGUAUGGCUGUUCGCCAUUUAAAGUGGUACGCGAGCUGGGUUUAGAACGUCGUGAGACAGUUCGGUCCCUAUCUGCCGUGGGCGCUGGAGAACUGAGGGGGGCUGCUCCUAGUACGAGAGGACCGGAGUGGACGCAUCACUGGUGUUCGGGUUGUCAUGCCAAUGGCACUGCCCGGUAGCUAAAUGCGGAAGAGAUAAGUGCUGAAAGCAUCUAAGCACGAAACUUGCCCCGAGAUGAGUUCUCCCUGAGACUUAGAGUCUCCUGAAGGAACGUUGAAGACGAUGACGUUGAUAGGCCGGGUGUGUAAGCGCAGCGAUGCGUUGAGCUAACCGGUACUAAUGAACCGUGAGGCUUAACCUUACAACGCCGAAG